rnacentral:rRNA from 1 species
CAGCAGCCGCGGGAACACCGGCAGCUCUAGUGGUAGUCAAGUUUUAUUGGGCCUAAAGCGUCCGUAGCCGGUUUAAUAAGUCUCUGGUGAAAUCCUGCAGCUUAACGUGUGGGAAUUGCUGGAGAUACUAUUAGACUUGAGACCGGGAGAGGUUAGAGGUACUCCCAGGGUAGAGGUGAAAUUCUGUAAUCCUGGGAGGACCGCCUGUUGCGAAGGCGUCUAACUGGAACGGCUCUGACGGUGAGGGACGAAAGUUAGGGGCGCGAACCGGAUUAGAUACCCGGGUAGUCCUAACUGUAAACGAUGCGGACUUGGUGUUGGGGUGGCUUUGAGCUGCUCCAGUGCCGAAGGGAAGCUGUUAAGUCCGCCGCCUGGGAAGUACGGUCGCAAGACUGAAACUUAAUGGAAUUGGCGGGGGAGCACCACAACGCGUGGAGCCUGCCGGUUUAAUUGGAUUCAACGCCGGACAUCUCACCAGAGGCGACAGCUGUAUGAUAGCCAGGUUGAUGACUUUGCUUGACUAGCUGAGUGGAGGUGCAUGG